UACAGAGGUCUCAAGCGUUGUUCGGAUUCAUUGGGCGUAAAGGGUGCGUAGGCGGCGCGGUAAGUCGGGUGUGAAAUCUUGGAGCUUAACUCCGAAACUGCAUUCGAUACUGCCGUGCUUGAGGACUGGAGAGGAGACUGGAAUUUACGGUGUAGCGGUGAAAUGCGUAGAUAUCGUAAGGAAGACCAGUGGCGAAGGCGGGUUGCUGGGCUGAUACUGACGCUGAGGCGACGAAGCGUAGGGGAGCAAACGGG
rnacentral:rRNA from 1 species